CGCAAUGGGCGAAAGCCUGACGGAGCAAUACCGCGUGAGGGAUGAAGGCCUUUGGGUUGUAAACCUCUUUUAUCAAGGAGGAAGUUCUGACGUGUACUUGAUGAAUAAGCAUCGGCUAACUCCGUGCCAGCAGCCGCGGUAAGACGGAGGAUGCAAGUGUUAUCCGGAAUCACUGGGCGUAAAGCGUCUGUAGGUGGUUUAAAAAGUCUGCUGUUAAAAAUUGAAGCUUAACUUCAAAGAUGCCGUAGAAACUUUUAAACUAGAGUAUGAUAGGGGUAGAGGGAAUUUCCAGUGGAGCGGUGAAAUGUGUAGAUAUUGGAAAGACCACCAAUGGCGAAGGCACUCUACUGGGCCAUUAUUUUCGUUUAGAGACGAAAGCUA
rnacentral:rRNA from 1 species